AAAACGUGGAACUGCUGAGAUCAGCGAAAUCUACCAUUCGCUUUUCUUUAGCCAGAGGAGGCCAAUGAACACACUGACUGGAGCUCUGGCAGCCACCUUGGACCAUGAGGUGACUUUGGGAAUGGAGGCCAAGUCUGGCAGAACAACAUGACAGAAGUAGC